rnacentral:tRNA from 1 species
CCUUCGAUAGCUCAGUUGGUAGAGCGGUGGACUGUAGAAGUAUAAGAUAAUUGACAUCCAUAGGUCGCUGGUUCAAAUCCGGCUCGAAGGA